rnacentral:rRNA from 1 species
GACGGGGGGGGCAAGCGUUGUCCGGAAUCAUUGGGCGUAAAGGGCGCGUAGGUGGUUCUGUAUGUCUACCGUGAAAGCGUACGGCUCAACCGUAUUUUGUCGGUGGAAACUGCAGGACUUGAGGCUGGGAGGGGCUGGUGGAAUUCCCUGUGUAGCGGUGAAAUGCGUAGAGAUGGGGGAGAACGACUCGUGGCGAAAGGCGGCCAGCUAGACCAGUUCUGACACUGAGGCGCGACAGCGUGGGGAGCAAACAGG